rnacentral:rRNA from 1 species
CUCUGACCUCAAAUCAGGUAGGACUACCCGCUGAACUUAAGCAUAUCAAUAAGCGGAGGAAAAGAAACUAACAAGGAUUCCCCUAGUAACUGCGAGUGAAGCGGGAAAAGCUCAAAUUUGAAAUCUGGCGGCCUGGCGGUCGUC